rnacentral:rRNA from 1 species
AGUGGCGGACGGGUGAGUAACGCGUGAGAAUCUGCCUUGGGGUCGGGGACAACCACUGGAAACGGUGGCUAAUACCGGAUAAGCCGAUUGGUGAAAGAUUUAUUGCCCGAAGAGGAGCUCGCGUCUGAUUAGCUAGUUGGUGAGGUAAGAGCUCACCAAGGCAGCGAUCAGUAGCUGGUCUGAGAGGACGAUCAGCCACACUGGGACUGAGACACGGCCAGACUCCUACGGGAGGCAGCAGUGGGGAAUUUUCCGCAAUGGGCGAAAGCCUGACGGAGCAAGACCGCGUGAGGGAGGAAGGCUCUUGGGUUGUAAACCUCUUUUCUCAGGGAAGAAGCUCUGACGGUACCUGAGGAAUCAGCCUCGGCUAACUCCGUGCCAGCAGCCGCGGUAAUACGGAGGAGGCAAGCGUUAUCCGGAAUUAUUGGGCGUAAAGCGUCCGCAGGUGGCGAUUCAAGUCUGCUGUCAAAGCACGGGGCUUAACUCCGUAAAGGCAGUGGAAACUGAAUAGCUAGAGUGCCGUAGGGGUAGAGGGAAUUCCCGGUGUAGCGGUGAAAUGCGUAGAGAUCGGGAAGAACAUCGGUGGCGAAAGCGCUCUACUGGACGGCAACUGACACUCAGGGACGAAAGCUAGGGGAGCGAAUGGGAUUAGAUACCCC